CACUGCCGAGAAAAGCCUCUAGAUAGAAAAUAGGUGCCCGUACCGCAAACCGACACAGGUAGUCAAGAUGAGAAUUCUAAGGUGAGCGAGCGAACUCUCGUUAAGGAACUCGGCAAAAUGACCCCGUAACUUCGGGAGAAGGGGUGCUCUUUAGGGUUAACGCCCAGAAGAGCCGCAGUGAAUAGGCCCAAGCGACUGUUUAUCAAAAACACAGGUCUCUGCUAAACCGUAAGGUGAUGUAUAGGGGCUGACGCCUGCCCGGUGCUGGAAGGUUAAGAGGAGUGGUUAGCUUCUGCGAAGCUACGAAUCGAAGCCCCAGUAAACGGCGGCCGUAACUAUAACGGUCCUAAGGUAGCGAAAUUCCUUGUCGGGUAAGUUCCGACCCGCACGAAAGGCGUAACGAUUUGGGCACUGUCUCAACGAGAGACUCGGUGAAAUCAUAGUACCUGUGAAGAUGCAGGUUACCCGCGACAGGACGGAAAGACCCCGUGGAGCUUUACUGUAGCCUGAUAUUGAAAUUCGGCACAGCUUGUACAGGAUAGGUAGGAGCCUUUGAAACGUGAGCGCUAGCUUACGUGGAGGCGCUGGUGGGAUACUACCCUAGCUGUGUUGGCUUUCUAACCCGCACCACUUAUCGUGGUGGGAGACAGUGUCAGGCGGGCAGUUUGACUGGGGCGGUCGCCUCCUAAAAGGUAACGGAGGCGCUCAAAGGUUCCCUCAGAAUGGUUGGAAAUCAUUCAUAGAGUGUAAAGGCAUAAGGGAGCUUGACUGCGAGACCUACAAGUCGAGCAGGGUCGAAAGACGGACUUAGUGAUCCGGUGGUUCCGCAUGGAAGGGCCAUCGCUCAACGGAUAAAAGCUACCCCGGGGAUAACAGGCUUAUCUCCCCCAAGAGUUCACAUCGACGGGGAGGUUUGGCACCUCGAUGUCGGCUCAUCGCAUCCUGGGGCUGUAGUCGGUCCCAAGGGUUGGGCUGUUCGCCCAUUAAAGCGGUACGCGAGCUGGGUUCA
rnacentral:rRNA from 1 species